AUUUUCAACCUGCCUUGAUAAAAAAUCCUGUGCCAAGUUCUUAGGCUUGCUGGAUUGAUAUCAAUAUCUCUGUGGCCCGAUCAAAAGUAAUUACUCAAUAUGGCUUUGUAUGCCUAUGCUGAACAGAUAUGUUUGAAUUUAUAUGGGCUGCUGAAUGCGCAGCCGCGCAGCUAACUUUUACAGCCUUAGGGGCGAUUCAUUGAAUUUUUUUUUUUACUAAAGUUUUCUUGUUUUAUUGCAUCAGUGAGACUCCAGUCCAAAAGAGGGAUUGGAUUUAGCGGUUAAAUCAGGUCAUCAACUUACACACAGCUCAUCUUGGCCUGUUGGUUGAGAACUUAGACUUUCAACUUAUAUUAGGCUUUCAACUAUAAGGCCUUAUACAGAUAACCUCGCUACGAUGCUCCAAGAACACAAGUCAGAUUGAACGGGGAAAACAGCCUGAAUGUUCAGUUAGGCGCCUUGAUUUUCACUUGCAAAAGCUACAGUGGCCAAGGUGGGGCUGGUUUGGCUUAAUAGUUUUUUUGAUCUUUUCUACUGAACGCGUUUAUUUGUAAUGUAUAUUUUAACGCAACUGAAUGUGUUUAUUAAAUUUUUUUUGUUUUUAAAAUGUAUAUAGGUAACUAUAUGAGUUAAAUAAAUAUGAAAUAAAUUUAUAUCGUAAGAGAUUUAUUAAA